rnacentral:rRNA from 1 species
UUUAUUAGAUAAAAAACCAAUCUUCGGGCUUCAUUGGUGAAUCAUAAUAACUUAACGAUCGCAUGCCUUGCGCCGGCGAUGGCUCAUUCAAAUUUCAGCCCUACCAACUUUCGAUGGUAGGAUAGUGGCCUACCAUGGUAUCCAACGGGUGCGGGGAAUUAGGGUUCUAUUCCCGGAGAGGGACCUGAGAAACGGCUACCACAUCCAAGGAAGCGCAGGCGGCGAAAUUAGCCCAAUCCCGCAACGGGGAGGCUAGUGCAAUAAAUACUGAUACAGGGCUCUUUUGGGUCUUGUAAUUGGAAUGAGUACAAUUUAAAUCCCUUAACGAGGAACAAUUGGAGGGCAAGUCUGGUGCCAGCAGCCGCGGUAAUUCCAGCUCCAAUAGCGUAUAUUAAAGUUGUUGCAGUUAAAAAGCUCGUAGUUGAACCUUGGGCCUGGCUGGCCGGUCCGCCUCACCGCGUGUACUGGUCCGGCCGGGCCUUUCCUUCUGGGGAGCCGAUGCCUUCACUGGGCGUGUCGGGGAACCAGGACUUUUACUUUGAAAAAAUUAGAGUGUUCAAAGCAGGCUUGCUCGAAUACAUAGCAUGGAAUAAUAGAAUAGGACGUGCGGUUCUAUUUUCUUGGUUUCUAGGACCGCCGUAAUGAUUAAUAGGGUAGUCGGGGGCAUCUGUAUUCAAUUGUCAGAGGUGAAAUUCUUGGAUUUACUGAAGACAACUACUGCGAAACGCAUUGCCAAGGAUGCUCUCAUUAAUCAGUGAACGAAAGUUAGGGGAUCGAACGAGAUCAGAUACCGUCGUAGUCUUAAGGAUAAAGUAUGCCGACUAGGGAUCGGGGGAUGUUAUCAUUUUUGACUCCCUCGGCACCUCACGAGAAAUCAAAGCUUUUGGGUUCUGGGGGGAGUAUGGUCGC